rnacentral:rRNA from 1 species
GACGAACGCUGGCGGCGUGCCUAAUACAUGCAAGUAGAACGCUGAAGGAGGAGCUUGCUUCUCCGGAUGAGUUGCGAACGGGUGAGUAACGCGUAGGUAACCUGCCUGGUAGCGGGGGAUAACUAUUGGAAACGAUAGCUAAUACCGCAUAAGAGUAGAUGUUGCAUGACAUUUGCUUAAAAGGUGCAAUUGCAUCACUACCAGAUGGACCUGCGUUGUAUUAGCUAGUUGGUGGGGUAACGGCUCACCAAGGCGACGAUACAUAGCCGACCUGAGAGGGUGAUCGGCCACACUGGGACUGAGACACGGCCCAGACUCCUACGGGAGGCAGCAGUAGGGAAUCUUCGGCAAUGGACGGAAGUCUGACCGAGCAACGCCGCGUGAGUGAAGAAGGUUUGCGGAUCGUAAAGCUCUGUUGUAAGAGAAGAACGAGUGUGAGAGCGGAAAGUUCACACUGUGACGGUAUCUUACCAGAAAGGGACGGCUAACUACGUGCCAGCAGCCGCGGUAAUACGUAGGUCCCGAGCGUUGUCCGGAUUUAUUGGGCGUAAAGCGAGCGCAGGCGGUUAGAUAAGUCUGAAGUUAAAGGCUGUGGCUUAACCAUAGUACGCUUUGGAAACUGUUUAACUUGAGUGCAAGAGGGGAGAGUGGAAUUCCAUGUGUAGCGGUGAAAUGCGUAGAUAUAUGGGAGGAACACCGGUGGCGAAAGCGGCUCUCUGGCUUGUAACUGACGCUGAGGCUCGAAAGCGUGGGGAGCAAACAGG